ensembl:lncRNA
CACGCACGCAUGCACAGACACACACACACACACACACACACACACACACACACACUCUAUGUCGAUUUAAAUCAAUACACGUCUACAAUGAGCCAUAGUUGUAACCCUUUUGGCUUUCCAAACACAAACGCUCAAACACAGUCACACACACUCUGGCCAUCAGACUGUUUGCUGACUUGUCUACGUCGCGGUGAGUAGGCGUCUUUGGGAAAUGUGUGUUGGUUUGUGACCGUGUGAUUCAGUUUACCAUCAGAGUGUGUGUGUUUGAGUUGUGUGACUGUGUGUGUGUGUGUGCACACAGGAGUGAUCGCCGAUGUGUUCCCGGAAUGCUCGCCAGCCCUGAGUUCCCAUGACCUCCGCCCCCUCCCUGCAGUGUGUUCUGUCCCACAGAGAGUCACCUCACCUGGGGGUGAGGCGGGGGUAAGGGUGGGUCGGGAGGCUGUCCCCUCCGGGUGGUGUGGCAAGGCUGUGGCUGCGUCUAGACGGGAACUGUGAUGUCAUCAGGAAUGUGAAAACCCGACUGAAACCGACCCGGGGUUCUGAUCCGCUGCGGACAAGGACGGCUCCUGUGCCCGACCACUUCCCGUCUUCUCGCCGUCCUGUGUGAGCUGCUGUCCACCAGCGCGGACGACAAGGUUCCGAACAGGCGCUAGGCAUUCUCCACCUACUGGACGUUCUCUGGAACCGCGCCCUGUCUGCGCGCCCCACCCUCUUUGCCUCCCUCCCUCCCGGCCUGAGGC